rnacentral:rRNA from 1 species
GCAAGUCGAGCGCAUCCUUCGGGGUGAGCGGCGGACGGGUUAGUAACGCGUGGGAACGUACCCUUUUCUACGGAAUAGCCAUUGGAAACGAUGAGUAAUACCGUAUACGCCCUUCGGGGGGAAGAUUUAUCGGUGAAGGAUUAGCCCGCGUAAGAUUAGAUAGUUGGUGGGGUAAUGGCCUACCAAGUCUACGAUCUUUAGCUGGUUUUAGAGGAUGAUC